rnacentral:rRNA from 1 species
CCUACGGGAGGCAGCAGUUGGGAAUAUUGCACAAUGGGGGAAACCCUGAUGCAGCGACGCCGCGUGAGUGAAGAAGUAUCUCGGUACGUAAAGCUCUAUCAGCAGGGAAGAAAAUGACGGUACCUGUCACAGAAGCCCCGGCUAACUACGGGACAGCAGCCGCGGUAAUACGUAGGGGGAAAGCGUUAUCCGGAUUGACUGGGUGUAAAGGGAGGGUAGACUGCAGCACAAGUAUGGAGUGAAAUCCCGGGGCUUAACCCCGGAACUGCUUUGGAUACUGGUCGGCUGGAGUGCAGGAGAGGUAAGCGGAAUUCCGAGUGUAGCGGUGAAAUGCGUAGAGAUGAGGAGGAACACCGGUGGCGAAGGCGGCUUACUGGACUGUAACUGACGUUGAGGCUCGAAAGCGUGGGGAGCAAACAGGAUUAGAUACCCUUGUAGUC